rnacentral:rRNA from 1 species
UUAAUGAGGCGAACCGGGGGAACUGAAACAUCUAAGUACCCCGAGGAAAAGAAAUCAACCGAGAUUCCCCCAGUAGCGGCGAGCGAACGGGGAGGAGCCCAGAGCCUGAAUCAGUGUGUGUGUUAGUGGAAGCGUCUGGAAAGGCGCGCGAUACAGGGUGACAGCCCCGUACACAAAAAUGCACAUACUGUGAGCUCGAUGAGUAGGGCGGGACACGUGGUAUCCUGUCUGAAUAUGGGGGGACCAUCCUCCAAGGCUAAAUACUCCUGACUGACCGAUAGUGAACCAGUACCGUGAGGGAAAGGCGAAAAGAACCCCGGCGAGGGGAGUGAAAAAGAACCUGAAACCGU